UACGAAGGGGGCUAGCGUUGCUCGGAAUCACUGGGCGUAAAGGGUGCGUAGGCGGGUCUUUUUAAGUCGGGGGUGAAAGCCUGUGGCUCAACCACAGAAUUGCCUUCGAUACUGUUUGGCUUGAGACCGGAAGAGGUUAGUGGAACUGCGAGUGUAGAGGUGAAAUUCGUAGAUAUUCGCAAGAACACCAGUGGCGAAGGCGGCUCACUGGCCCGAUACUGACGCUGAGGCACGAAAGCGUGGGGAGCAAACAGG
rnacentral:rRNA from 1 species